rnacentral:rRNA from 1 species
CCCUUAGAUGUUCUGGGCCGCACGCGUGCUACACUGAGUGGAUCAGCGGGUCAGGUUGCGCGAAAGUGUUUCCUAAUCUUUAAAUCCGCUCGUGAUGGGGAUUGAUGGUUGCAAUUUUCCGUCAUGAACGAGGAAUACCUUGUAAGCGCGGGUCAUCAUCCCGCGCUGAAUACGUCCCUGCCCUUUGUACACACCGCCCGUCGCUCCUACCGAUUGAGUGGUCCGGUGAGGCUUUGGGAUCUGAGCGGAAAGAGCGUUUCGCUGUUUCUGCCCGGAAAACUCAGUCGAACCUUAUCAUUUAGAGGAAGGAGAAGUCGUAACA